UUGCUCGUUGCCUUGGGCCGACGAGGCACCGUUGUUCCGCUCAUAGCCCAGGCCUACGACUGCUCGGCCGGUCGUCCCCACUGCCGCCGCCGGCGAUGUAGGGCGCCGUCCCUCCUCCGGCGCCGACGACAACGAGGUAUCAGGGAACAUCGCAACAACUUUUGCUGCACUACUCAUCAGAGGUUAAAAGAUUGAUUAUAAAGUUCAUCAACUGAAGGUCUGGGCGUCUGGUACACUCUGUGUGAUAUUUGUUUCUGAUAGUGUCUGCUGACAAUGGCCUGCUGAAGUAUAUUUUGUAUGCAAACCUACUGGCCUACUCUAGCAUCAGUUUAGUAUGUAAAGCCCUACGCUGUGGCUAAUAUGUAUUGCAGCCUUGAUAUUCAGGGAUCUGUCCUGUGUUUGAUUUCUUAUUCAGGACUCUUACCCUUGUCUUAUUGUCACACAAAACAUAUCGCAGCUUGUCUAAUUAAAUUUUCAUCUUUAUCUA